UGAACCGGAGGAAGGUGGGGAUGACGUCAAGUCCUCAUGGCCCUUAUAGGUGGGGCUACACACGUCAUGCAAUGGCUGGUACAAAGGGUUGCCAACCCGCGAGGGGGAGCUAAUCCCAUAAAGCCAGUCGUAGUCCGGAUCGUAGUCUGCAACUCGACUACGUGAAGUCGGAAUCGCUAGUAAUCGUGGAUCAGAAUGUCACGGUGAAUACGUUCCCGGGUCUU
rnacentral:rRNA from 1 species